GCCGGGUGUGGUGGCGUGUGCCUGUAAUCCCAGCUACUCAGGAGGCUGAGGCAGGAGAAUCACUUGAACCCAGGAGGUGGAGGUUGCAGUGAGCCGAGAUCAUGCCACUGCACUCCAGCCUGGGCAACAGAGUGAGACUCCGUCUCAA
ensembl:misc_RNA Metazoa_SRP Metazoan signal recognition particle RNA